rnacentral:rRNA from 1 species
ACAGCAGCAGCCACGGUAAUACGAAGGGUGCAAGCGUUACUCGGAAUUACUGGGCGUAAAGCGUGCGUAGGUGGUGGUUUAAGUCCGUUGUGAAAGCCCUGGGCUCAACCUGGGAAUUGCAGUGGAUACUGGAUCACUAGAGUGUGGUAGGGGAUAGUGGAAUUUCCGGUGUAGCAGUGAAAUGCGUAGAGAUCUGGAGGAAUACCGGUGGCGAAGGCGGCCCCCUGGACAAAGACUGACGCUCAGGUGCGAAAGCGUGGGGAGCAAACAGGAUUAGAUACCCCAGUAGUCCCUGUCUCUUAUAC